rnacentral:tRNA from 1 species
CGGGGUGUAGCUCAGCUUGGUAGAGCGCCUGCUUUGGGAGCAGGAUGUCGCAAGUUCAAAUCCUGUCACCCCGACCA